GACGAACGCUGGCGGCGUGCUUAACACAUGCAAGUCGAACGGAAAGGCACUGCUUUUGUGGUGUGCUCGAGUGGCGAACGGGUGAGUAACACGUGAGUAACCUGCCCUUGACUUUGGGAUAACUUCAGGAAACUGGGGCUAAUACCGGAUCGGAGCUCCUGCUGCAUGGUGGGGGUUGGAAAGUUUCGGCGGUUGGGGAUGGACUCGCGGCUUAUCAGCUUGUUAGUGGGGGAGUGGCUUACCAAGGCUUUGACGGGUAGCCGGCCUGAGAGGGUGGACGGCGUCCUUGGGCCUACGGGACGGCGCAGACUGCUAUGGUAGGCAGUAGUGGGGAAUAUUGUACAAUGGGCGGAAGUCUGAUGCAGCAACGUUGCGUGCGGGAUGACGGCCUUCGGGUUGUAAACCGCUGUCGCCUGUGACGAAGCGUGAGUGACGGUAAUGGGUAAAGAAGCACCGGCUAACUACGUG
rnacentral:rRNA from 1 species